AUGGCGGAGGAAUCAUGGAGCAACUCCCCUCCGUCUGCCAAGAGAAUGGCGGAGGCAUCGUGGAGCAACUCCGCUCCGUCUGCCAAGCAUCACCGUGGUGAGGCGUCUGGCAAGGAGCCUCUGGUGGUCGACGACGAUGUUCCGGUCCCCGGGCAGAAGCGGGACUACACCGUGCCGCUCAAGGUUGAUAUCCACCUGAAGGAGCCGCUGAAUGUCGUAUGCACCAGCAAUCCAGACGAAGCCGACAAGAUGAUCCGCAAGAUGAGGAGGAGGCUCGGCGGCAUGCUUCCUCGAAAUAUCGGCGUUGAUGUCGAGUAUACCAGGGAAGACAAACCUCCGCAAAUUGCUGCAGUUCUGCAGUUAUGCAUGGAGGAUCUCGUCCUGGUAUACCACAUCACCGCGGCAACCAAAUGGCCCAAGGAACUCUGCCCGCUCCUACAGGAGAAGAAGCUGUACACCUUUGUUGGCUUCUGCAUUGGAGGCGACAAGGAGAAGCUGAAGUUGUCUGGUUUAGAGAUCAACCUCGACAACCUCAUCCACCCAUCCUACAAGGAAAUGAAGUAG
rnacentral:rRNA from 1 species